GCACCACGAUCGCGGACCCGCUUCGCAGGCCAAACGGCGCUUUCGUGCCGCCUUGUCCGUCCGUGGUGACCACGAUCGAUACGCCUCUUCCGUCCGUGACCCACGCACGCAAGCGAGAGAUAUCAACGGAGCCAAUCGAUCUGUGCGCCGGCCUCCCUCCCUCUAUGGUUAGUCUUCUCCUUCCCCUGUGCACCCUGAUCCGCGAGAAUCCUCCUCCAAGCCGCCGCCAUGCGCCACGCGGAAUUCCGUCUGCUGUCGCCCCGGCCAUGCGCUUCAGUUUUGCCUCGCUCGGUGGAUCUACGCCGCCCCCGCCGGAAUCAGCUCUCGCCGUGCCCUCGGAGCGUCCCGCCGGCCGGCCGAUCGCACGGACGCGCAGCUCGACGUGCCAGGGGCGAAUUUCCUUGCGGGUAUUGCACAUGCAUGUGUGCUCACUUUGCCGGGGAUGAACCAUAAAGUCGCGAUUUUUACACAUGGAUGAUCGUGGCUUCCGCCCGGACGUGAUGUGAAGGCAGGCUGCCUUGGAUCGGUAAGUUCCCCUGCCUUGGACGUGAUGUGAAGGCAGGCUGCCCGGAGGAACUCAGUGAUAUUUGUGUCAGAAAGCGGUGGCUUUCUAAUGUCAGCAAUCCAUUUGCUGUCCCGUGGAGCCGAUUGGUCUUUCCUUGUGGAUCUCUCAAACAGCGAGGGCGCAACGCAGCGGGCAGGAAGAUUGUUUAACCAAGUGGACUCCCGGAAGCUUGUUGUCUCCCCCAUUGCCGAUGCCUGACAGUCGUCGCCGCGGCGAAAAGAUCCCUGUCCUUUUUAUCACAAGGCAGUUCAUCAGAGCCCGCCCAAGGUCUCUGGGCUCUGGGGUGCACUCCAAGCUAGUCACAGCCACAGAAGGUGCAAAGCGUGAGCGAAUUUUCUCAUGCCGUGGAUCCCUAGGCCUCCUAGAUCCACCAGCCAGCAAGUCUAGCCCUGAUGCGAUCAAGAACAAACUGCAGUUGAAUCUUUCAGUCUCCCCAUAGUCAUCUGCAUAUAAGCUGACCGGUAGCUUUGUUAUUUCUGUCAUCUCUGCCUAUCAAAUGAAAAGAUACACAAGCUUUGUGUAUUCGCGGAAAAAGUACACUGCCGCUGUCACAAAUAGUGGAGCAGAUUGGUGUACCACCACAGAGUGCCACGAUCCAAACAUAUAGAGAUAUAACGAACAACAAGGUUGGCACUGAUGUUCAGGUACAAAUCGGGAGCAAAGCAAGGGGAUGAGAUACAAGUAGCAGUAGGCGACAUAUGUACCCAGGAACCAAACGUUCCCCUCCUAGGCGACAUGCUCUCAACAUUUUUCAAUCCUUCGAUGAUAUACUAUGCUGCUUCUAGUUCUGAAGAUGUUGGAUACAACCAUACGCUCAGGAAGGCAAAAUUGCUGGUCUCUUUACUGUGAAGAAUUCUGCUCAAUAUAAAUAAGGUAAUGAGUGCUCAAAAAGAAAUUCAAAAUCAUUGUUUUGAGUUUUUUGGAACAGUUCAGCAAAAAAUGAACAUUGUUCAAAACUUUAACACAAUCUAACCCUUCCUAUGCAAUGCCAAUAUGUCCAUGGCUUUUCUGCCACACUGUCCAACGCCAACGGCCUUGACGUUUCUUCCUUGUGCAACGCCACGGCCCUUGGCGUUUGAAGGUUGCAGCAGCAACGUCUAUGGCGUUUCAUACUGCUACAGCAACGCCAUGAUACUUGGCAUUGCUAAACAGGGUUAGAUGUGUUAAAGUUUCCUACGGAGGUCAUUUUGUCUGAACUUUAUCAAAACAUUGAUUUUGGCCAAUGCUACCACCUAGUACGCAUCCUGGUAUCCCAAUGUUUUCACGUUUUGCACAUCAGUUUUCAUGUAUGAGGUAUCACAGAAGAACAGGAACUACAUUUUAUUAAUAUAUUAAAUAUUGUGGGGGCAUUAAAUUUUCUUUAAUGUACUGAUCAGGGCUGAAAUCACUCAUAUGAAACGGUAGUGGAGAUUGUUUUUCAAAUGCACAUCUAAAUGCAGAGUUGCAACAAAACUGCUUUUCCUUCAGAUGAGAAAAUCACAUUAACCAAUCAAUCAAGAAUUACUAAUAUUCUGCUGUUUGGUGUUGCAGAGUAAUCGUUCUGGAUAUAUCCUUUACCAAAUCCGAAAACUGAAUUUAGUGCAAGCAUCUAUCAUCCAAGUCUAAUUCUUGCAUAUUUGCAGGUCAGAACCUGAAUAACUGUAUCAUCGCUUCAGAUGAGCGGCUUCAGCUGUGAUUUCUAACUAACCUUACCAAGCUCAGUUCGUUUCAAUCUGUCUAAUUUGGCAUCCAAUCAUUAAUCUGACGCUCACUUCUUCCCCUUGCCCUUCUUGCCGGGCUUGGGCGUCUUGUCCGCCUUGGCCAGGUCUGCAACCGCCGCCGCCGCCGCCGCCGCCGCCUUGGCCGCCUGGACAACCAGGCACGAUCUGUGGUGAUCUCGCACGAAAGUGGACUGGUAUCCACUCUCGCGGGGCGGAAAGCCGCAGGGGAUGCAGCUCCAGUGCUGCAUCCCCUGGGGCAGAGGGACUCCCGACAUCUGUCCUGGUUCUUGCGCGCUCUCCGACGAGCCGCGUCCUGGUUCUUGCGCCCUCUCGGACUAGCCGCGUCUUGGUUCUUGCGCCCUCUCCGACGAGCCGCGCGCUGGUUCUUGCGCGCGCCCCGACGAGCCGCGCCCUGGUUCUUGCGCGCUCUCCGACGAGCCGCGCCCUGGUUCUUGCGCGCUCCCCGACGAGCCCCGAGCGUAGUCUCCGGUCCGGCCGCUACGGCUCUCUCGCGCUGCGCGUAGACUCUGAUCUUCCUCCUCUGUCUCUGUCUCUCGUCAAGCCCUGCUCUCGAACUAAGGAAGACGAUGCUAUGGGUAGGCAGAGGAAGAGAGGGAAGAGCUCGGCCGGCUUAUAACGGGGGGGAUUUCUUUUUAUCUGAUGAUGAGAACCGGGGAGAGGGAAACAGUCGGGAAAAGAAGUUGCGGUGCUGGCAUGGGCCAGGCCAGUAAAAUGCGGUCACAUUUUUCACCAACGUUACAGAUCUGCCAUUAGAUUACAUUGCACGAAUUUUGACGCACGCUGGUCAUCACGUCACCUGUUUAGAGCAACUCUAGCAGCCCCUUAUCCCGUAAAAUAACCGCCUGUUUAUGCUUUCUCGUGCAAAAAACACAGUAUCGGCCCGCGAACUAUAAAAAAAAUUGCGGGGCACAGAGAAACUUCACCCUCAAUCUUUAGAUUCACAGGGUGGGAGGGCGACCCGAGCUUGACCCCUAUCCGCUGCGAGAUUUGGUGGGAGGGACAUUUUCGCGUGGCAGUUCCCGCCUCCCUUCCCUUUCGCUGCCAACCACCUCCCUCCAUCCAUUCUGGAACACCUUCGCCGGUUUCCCUCCGCCGCCAUGGAAGUCUCCUAGCCGCCGGCCGUCACUGCGGAUGCCAUCCCGAGCCAGUCCUGUCGGCAUAUCUCGUCACGACGAUGUCGCGCAAUCGCCAUUCAAGGCUCCGCCUCGUCGCCCCGCAAGCAGCAGGGCAACAUAGUUGUUCAAGGCGGCGCUCUCGCAGGCCCCGUUAGGAAGACACGCGCGCCCGCCGCCCCAACCACUGCGAAACCGGUACGUCCCGUGCCGGCAAAGAAAGGGAAUGUUGCCGGUGUGAAGCGCAAGAAGACCGCCACAAGAGCGACCCGCCAACACCUCCCCUGAUAGCGUCGGCAAUAACUGCCCCAAGGAUGCCCGCCGAUGGCGUUGCUGCCGUCCCCCUCGAGGUGUUAGACGGAAUGGCCUUGAGCGUUGGUUUGCAUGAUGCGACAGCCGACUUCGUGCAAAUAUUGGACGACAACACCGUCGACAUCGAUCAAGCCCCGAUCGGUGAUUACGGUUACAAUGAGAUGGAUGGUGGCGUGCAGGAGGUUGAUGAGGGGAUGCUCGACGAAGCGCAAGCAAAGUCACGCGCAAGAUCGAGGAACUACACACCAUUGGAAGAUAAAGUCUUGAUCAAGGCUCUGGAAUCGGUGUCUCUUGAUCCGUGCACCGGCACCGACCAAACCGCCAAGUGGUAUUGGCAAAGGAUCGAGGAUCAAUACUUCCGCAUGAUGGCAAAUUAUCCCAACCGGAUGCCACACACCUUUCGGUCUCUUCAAGGUCGUUGGGACAUGAUCAAGCCAAUUUGUAGUCGUUGGGCCUCAUGCUUGCAAUGAGUCCACAAUGCACCUCCAAGAGGAGCCGUUGAAGCCGACUAUGUGAGUUGGUUUUCAUGUUCCAAGUUGUGCAACAAGUCCACAAUCUUUUGUCUCCAUGGGAGAGGUUGCAUAUACAUUGUUUUCAUUUUGUAGAAGAAAAUUGCGCAGAAAGGUACACAGACAUGGAAGCUUCUGUAAAAAGGCAUUUCAACUUGAGCA